GGGCGGCCCAGGCAAGCACAAGGGGCAGCAUGAACUCCUGCUGAGGCGCUAGGUCUGAGCAGCAAACAGCGACGGCUGUUGCCCCAAACCUGCUGCCGGCACAGCUGCGCAGGUGAGCCCUUUCUCAAUUUUCUUGUAGUUCAAAAACAAACAUGCAGCCACUCGCGCUUUCCUCUCCGGAGCGGGCAGGAAGGGGAAGCAGACAGCCGCCAUGGUAACAGCCAGCUGACGGCAACCUGGGAAGGGCAACCAUCGGCCACCGCGUUCCCAGGCCCCCGGCCUUCCCCUCCUGCUCCUCCCCCGGGGGGGGGAACGCUGGCUUAUUUCCACAAAUACCGUAAAUAAGGGACCUGCAUUUCCACAGAGCCGCACCUGAUACCGCUUUCUACCUGUGGCUCACUCACUUCAGGAGUUCACUCCCUCACCAUGCUCCUGCAUCCUCAGCUGGAGAUUCAAGUCCUGCGCUGAUGGGCAACGUGCAGAAAGCGGAGCUGAAGAGGUGACCCACUGCUGUGCACAGCAGCAGCAGGGACCAGCAAGCACUAGCCAGCUGGGAAGAUCCUGAAACAAACUGACCUGCUAGGGAAACAAAAGAAUGACAACACUUACCCAAGUCUCAAAGAGACUGCAGGUACAAGUAAAGUAUGGAGCUGCCGGUGCUACAGGCUCAGUCACAGGACAGUCUGAGUCUCUGCACUACAUUAUUAGGAAACUUUUCUGAAGAUUUUUCCUAAAACAUAAAGUCAUUAUAAAGAAUGGUUUCCUGCAAACAGUACUAGUGUAAAAAAAGCAACUGUUAAAAAUUCCAUGGUUGUCCCUUAAUAAACAAUGAAGAAAAGCCUGAUGAAGUUUGUGAUAAAUGAUGCACAUGUAGCACUGUGUGCCCACUCUCUCAUGCCAAUGACUUUCUGAAAAGAGAUGCAGACUCCUGUUGCAUAAGCAGAAGUGUCUCAGAGGAGACUUUGAUAACUCUCAUGAGAGACAGAGGGGGAAAAAUAUGCAAAUUGUAACAGGUUUCACUUUCAAAGGAAAAUAACAUUUCCUCCUGGAUAGGAGGAAAUGUCAUUGUCAUUAGCUUGAGGCGAACAGGUACAUGCCUAGUUGUCUGCCCGCAGCCAAUAUGGAUGCAGGCAUUUGUGUUCCACAGGCUGCUCAAGCCUUUUGCAGCAAUGGUGAGAAUUAUUUGCUGAACCAACUGGGGAAUUCAGAGAAACAAAGUUUUCUAUAGCUAGAUCCACAGAGGCUUUUUGAGCAUGGUCAGCAUAUCCAAAUCAACUGCAGGAUUCCUGAUGUGUUGGAAAGGGGCUUUGUUGUUGUUUGUAAUGCACUUAUUUACUCAAGAAAGCUCAGCUCUGAUUCAGCAUCUGGUUCUCAUCGAGGCUCAGCUUUUUUUAAACCAAGCUUUCCAGAUGGGUUGACUGAAGCACAAGGAGGUCAAGAGACUUGUCUGAGGUCAUACAGCAAGUCAGUGGCUCUGCUUGGACCUGAGCCCAGAACUGUUCAAGGCUACCACUCCUUGGCUCUUAAAGAGACAAUUUUAUCCCCUGUGAAGUGAUCUUAUCUCCAUGAAGAAGAGAUGCAAUAAAAGCAGUCCCCUCAAAGCUGCAGCCUGCUUAAAAAGAGUUAUUUUAUUUGGAAAAAAGCUGUAGCAUUCCAGUGUCUCAAUGGAGCAAGUCAAACUGAAGGGGUGUGAUACUGAUAUACAGUGUCAUCCACCCCACCCCUGUAUAACCCUGUGCUCCUCUGGGGUGGCUUUACGCUGCUGCCGCCACUGUCCCUGAUUGUCUACUCAGAUCCCAGCUAGCAGCACAUCAUGUUGUGAAAUACACUGUUGGUUCAGCACAGAUUGAAGCCCCUCCUCAAGGCAAGGAAACUUAAGUUCACUCAGGACCUGCUCAGGACCUGAAGCAGAGCCCAAGCACUUGUUGCCACAGCCUGGGCAUAUGAGGUGUGGGCAGCACAUCUCAGCCAACCAACCAGCAGAUCCCCUAAGCUCAGCUCUGUUCUCCAUAAUCUCAGAGUACAGUCUUUAAGCUCAGCCACAGACUGGGCUACAGCAAGCAGUCACAGGCAAAGGCACACUUGCUCCAAACCAAGAAGGAGGUGGGAGGUCCUGGGUUCUUCUGAAGAAAACACGGCUUGGCUCUAGCUUAGUUUUCCAGG